AACGAACGCUGGCGGCAGGCUUAACACAUGCAAGUCGAACGCGUGUAGCAAUACACGAGUGGCGCACGGGUGAGUAACGCGUGGAUAUCUGCCUUUGGUUCGGAAUAACUCCGGGAAACUGGAGCUAAUACCGGAUGGUUCCUACGGGAUAAAGAUUUAUCGCCAAAAGAUGAGUCCGCGUACGAUUAGCUAGUUGGUGAGGUAAUGGCUCACCAAGGCGACGAUCGUUAGCUGGUCUGAGAGGACGAUCAGCCACACUGGGACUGAGACACGGCCCAGACUCCUACGGGAGGCAGCAGUGGGGAAUAUUGGACAAUGGGGCAACCCUGAUCCAGCCAUGCCGCGUGAGUGAUGAAGGCCUUCGGGUUGUAAAGCUCUUUGGUCGGGGACGAUGAUGACGGUACCCGC
rnacentral:rRNA from 1 species